rnacentral:misc_RNA from 1 species
AAAGAUCAGAUGCAGCCUCCCAACUGCAAAAGGGCAAACAAAGAAACAAAUUAGCAAGCAGCAUAUCUAAACAGACUACCAGAAAUAAAGAGUUAAGAAUAGCGAUGGAGCCAUUACAAGGCGAGUUCUAUCUGCAGAAAGCAGAAUACUCUCCAAAUAGAAAACAACUGGAGUUUAUGUAGGGUGCUAAUAAGAGGCAUAAAAGGCCACAUACUGCAAAAUAUAACUUCUAAAAACCUCAACAAACAAUCUUAUAAAACAAAUCGGUCCUCUACCUUAAUGACCAAAGAGACAGAAAAUAAUCUUGAAUCAGUACAUUUACUUUAACACCAUUUCUCAUUCUCUGCCAUAACCCAUCACCAAUGAAAUUCUAAUUACUACAAAGGUAGAAAUGGAAAUAAAACACUUCUUUUGGCUGUAACAAUGAACACCAACUGCUCUAAACAAUUUUUUUACUAUCUCAGAACUUGCUCAAUGAUUAACAGUCAGCAUUCUAUUUUUAGUGCUCAGAAAAAAUAGAAUUUACAUCCACCAUACAGCUUGGUCAUGCUUCAUUAGAGAAUUGAUAUAAAAGGCUAAUAAAUCGACCCAGCUAGAGCUCAUCCAUCUGAACUUUGAACAGCACAACCAGCCCAUCCAAACUCGGAGACAAUCGAGUUCUCCCAUCCAAUCUCAAAAACUAAUACCGAGCUCUAAGGAAAGCCCAAAGGGUGUUCCAACCCAUUUCAAAGAGAUCAGACAAGAUCGGAGAGAUCGGAUAAGAUCGGACAGAUCAGUACUUUCUUCAAGCUCGGACCAAACGAAGACCGUGCCACCAACUACGCCACUAAUCACGUCUAAUUCCCAGUAUAAUCUAAGAAUAAUUACCGUUAUAACUUAAAUAGGGAAUCAAUGAGGAUCUGGCCAAGAUUUCAUCAUAAUUACUAUAAAAAAAAUAAAGCUUCAGAAACAGUUAUACAAAUAAUAAUCUCACUUUUAUUAUACUAAAUACUCAAUUUAUAAUCUGAUUACUGACUUGAGUGUCGGAGUGGUUGUCAACCACCAUGGCCCCUCAUCUGUUCUUUGAUUUUCAGGAGACCCUCAAUCCGACCAAAUUCGGUAUACAAGAAAUCCACGACAACAUCAGGAAUAAACUAACAUAUCCUCAUGAUUCAUUUAGUAAUCAAAUGACAACACUAAAAGUGCACAUCAAACACAUUUGCUUAAAAACAAUGUCAGCACAGCUAGAGAAUUUAAUUCCAGCAGUAAUCAAGGAAGAAAGUUAUCAACAUACCAAGAUUGCCUCA